UGAGGAAUAUUGGGCAAUGCCCGCAAGGGUGACCCAGCGACGCCGCGUGGAGGAUGAAUGUCGUAAGAUUGUAAACUCCUGUUAGAGGGGAAGAAUAGUACCGGUUGGACCGGUAUAUGACUGUACCCUCAGAGAAAGCCCCGGCUAACUACGUGCCAGCAGCCGCGGUAAUACGUAGGGGGCAAGCGUUGUCCGGAUUUACUGGGUGUAAAGGGCGCGCAGGCGGGAUAAAAAGUCAGUGGUGAAAUCCUACAGCUUAACUGUAGAACUGCCUUUGAUACUUUUAUUCUUGAGUUCGGGAGAGAGAGACGGAAUUCCAGGUGUAGUGGUGAAAUACGUAGAUAUCUGGAAGAACACCAGUUGCGAAGGCGGUCUCUUGGUCCGACACUGACGCUGAGGCGCGAAAGCGUGGGGAGCAAACA
rnacentral:rRNA from 1 species